CCAUCAGUGCGUCUCUAGUUCCCGUGGCGCGCGCACAGACCGAGUUCCUGAUCUAGGAGUUUCUAGUAACGCGCUCCCUGGUGGACAGUACAGUAUUCCUAAGGAGGUGAUGAACUAUUUCACCCUGAACGAGGACAAGGUGGCCCUUAGCAACAACCCCCGCCCUCAGGAUAACAAUGAAGCGAAGGAAGACGAUUGGGAAGUUAUGGAUUACAUUAAUAUAUAAAGUAUUUAAAAUUAAUUUACAAAAUAGAAAUUUACAUUUUGAAAUAUACGGCAUAACAGAA